rnacentral:rRNA from 1 species
AGCGAACGCUGGCGGCAGGCCUAACACAUGCAAGUCGAACGAACUCUUCGGAGUUAGUGGCGGACGGGUGAGUAACACGUGGGAACGUGCCUUUUGGUUCGGAAUAACUCAGGGAAACUUGUGCUAAUACCGAAUGUGCCCUUCGGGGGAAAGAUUUAUCGCCAUUAGAGCGGCCCGCGUCUGAUUAGCUAGUUGGUGAGGUAACGGCUCACCAAGGCGACGAUCAGUAGCUAGUCUGAGAGGAUGACCAGCCACACUGGGACUGAGACACGGCCCAGACUCCUACGGGAGGCAGCAGUGGGGAAUCUUGCGCAAUGGGCGAAAGCCUGACGCAGCCAUGCCGCGUGAAUGAUGAAGGUCUUAGGAUUGUAAAAUUCUUUCACCGGGGACGAUAAUGACGGUACCCGGAGAAGAAGCCCCGGCUAACUUCGUG